rnacentral:rRNA from 1 species
GUUUGGUUAAGUUAGAAAGGGCGCACGGUGGAUGCCUUGACACUAGGAGUCGAUGAAGGACGGGACUAACGCCGAUAUGCUUCGGGGAGCUGUAAGUAAGCUUUGAUCCGAAGAUUUCCGAAUGGGGAAACCCACCAUACGUAAUGGUAUGGUAUCCUUAUCUGAAUACAUAGGRUAAGGAAGACAGACCCAGGGAACUGAAACAUCUAAGUACCUGGAGGAAGAGAAAGCAAAUGCGAUUUCCUGAGUAGCGGCGAGCGAAACGGAACAUAGCCCAAACCAAGAGGCUUGCCUCUUGGGGUUGUAGGACAUUCUAUACGGAGUUACAAAGGAACGAGG